rnacentral:pre_miRNA from 1 species
CAUGACACUGAAGCGGGAAUGGAAGCGUAGUCAGAUUGCAAUUCCUACCGGGUUCAGUGUCAUACU